GCGUUCAUCGCUCAGUUGGUUAGAGCACCACCUUGACAUGGUGGGGGUCGUUGGUUCGAGUCCAAUUGAACGCACCA
rnacentral:tRNA from 1 species